UAACGAAUCUUCCGCAAUGCACGAAAGUGUGACGGAGCGACGCCGCGUGUGGGAUGAAGUUCUUCGGAAUGUAAACCACUGUCAGGGGUAAGAAAGUUCUGAUCAACCCCAGAGGAAGGCACGGCUAACUCUGUGCCAGCAGCCGCGGUAAGACAGAGGUGCCGAGCGUUAGGCGGAAUCACUGGGCUUAAAGCGUGUGUAGGCGGGUCGAUAAGUGCCUUGUGAAAUCCCACGGCUCAACCGUGGAACUGCUGAGCAUACUGGCGAUCUUGAGCAACCUAGGGGCAGUCGGAACAAGUGGUGGAGCGGUGAAAUGCGUAGAUAUCACUUGGAACGCCAAUGGUGAAAACAGACUGCUGGGGGUACGCUGACGCUGAGACACGAAAGCCAGGGGAGCAAACGGGAUUAGAUACCCCCGUAGUCC
rnacentral:rRNA from 1 species